rnacentral:rRNA from 1 species
UACGGGGGGAGCAAGCGUUGUUCGGAUUUACUGGGCGUAAAGGGCGCGUAGGCGGCCACGACAAGUCAGUUGUGAAAUCUCUGGGCUUAACUCAGAACGGUCAACUGAUACUGUCGGGCUAGAGUGCAGAAGGGGCAACUGGAAUUCUCGGUGUAGCGGUGAAAUGCGUAGAGAUCAGGAAGAACACCGGUGGCGAAAGCGCUCUGCUGGACCUUAACUGACACUGAGGGACGAAAGCUAGGGGAGCGAAUGGG